rnacentral:rRNA from 1 species
UCGAGAAUUUUUCACAAUGGGCGAAAGCCUGAUGGAGCGACGCCGCGUGGGGGAUGAAUGGCUUCGGCCCGUAAACCCCUGUCAUUCGCGAGCAAACCCUUGUGGUUAAUACCCGCAAGGUUGAUAGUAGCGGAAGAGGAAGGGACGGCUAACUCUGUGCCAGCAGCCGCGGUAAUACAGAGGUCCCAAGCGUUGUUCGGAUUCACUGGGCGUAAAGGGUGCGUAGGUGGUGGAGUAAGUUCGAUGUGAAAUCUCCGGGCUUAACUCGGAAAAGUCAUUGAAUACUAUUCCGCUGGAGGGUUGUAGAGGGGACUGGAAUUCUCGGUGUAGCAGUGAAAUGCGUAGAUAUCGAGAGGAACACCAGUGGCGAAGGCGAGUCCCUGGACAAAUCCUGACGCUGAGGCACGAAAGCUAGGGGAGCAAACAGG